rnacentral:rRNA from 2 species
GUUAAGCGACUAAGCGUACACGGUGGAUGCCCUGGCAGUCAGAGGCGAUGAAGGGCGUGCUAAUCUGCGAUAAGCGCCGGUAAGGUGAUAUGAACCGUUAUAACCGGCGAUACCCGAAUGGGGAAACCCAGUGUGAUUCGUCACACUAUCAUUAACUGAAUCCAUAGGUUAAUGAGGCGAACCGGGGGAACUGAAACAUCUAAGUACCCCGAGGAAAAGAAAUCAACCGAGAUUCCCCCAGUAGCGGCGAGCGAACGGGGAGGAGCCCAGAGCCUGAAUCAGCAUGUGUGUUAGUGGAAGCGUCUGGAAAGGCGCGCGAUACAGGGUGACAGCCCCGUACACAAAAGCGCAUGUGCUGUGAGCUCGAUGAGUAGGGCGGGACACGUGGUAUCCUGUCUGAAUAUGGGGGGACCAUCCUCCAAGGCUAAAUACUCCUGACUGACCGAUAGUGAACCAGUACCGUGAGGGAAAGGCGAAAAGAACCCCGGCGAGGGGAGUGAAAAAGAACCUGAAACCGUGUACGUACAAGCAGUGGGAGCACAGGUUUACCUGUGUGACUGCGUACCUUUUGUAUAAUGGGUCAGCGACUUAUAUUCUGUAGCAAGGUUAACCGAAUAGGGGAGCCGGAGGGAAACCGAGUCUUAAU